rnacentral:rRNA from 1 species
GACGAACGCUGGCGGCGUGCUUAACACAUGCAAGUCGAACGGAAAGGCCCUGCUUUUGUGGGGUGCUCGAGUGGCGAACGGGUGAGUAACACGUGAGUAACCUGCCCUUGACUUUGGGAUAACUUCAGGGAACUGGGGCUAAUACCGGAUAGGAGCUCCUGCUGCAUGGUGGGGGUUGGAAAGUUUCGGCGGUUGGGGAUGGACUCGCGGCUUAUCAGCUUGUUGGUGGGGUAGUGGCUUACCAAGGCUUUGACGGGUAGCCGGCCUGAGAGGGUGACCGGCCACAUUGGGACUGAGAUACGGCCCAGACUCCUACGGGAGGCAGCAGUGGGGAAUAUUGCACAAUGGGCGGAAGCCUGAUGCAGCGACGCCGCGUGCGGGAUGACGGCCUUCGGGUUGUAAACCGCUUUCGCCUGUGACGAAGCGUGAGUGACGGUAAUGGGUAAAGAAGCACCGGCUAACUACGUG